rnacentral:rRNA from 1 species
UGGUUGUCGUCAGCUCGUGUCGUGAGAUGUUGGGUUAAGUCCCGCAACGAGCGCAACCCCUAUUGUUAGUUGCCAUCAUUCAGUUUGGGCACUCUAGCGAGACUGCCGGUAAUAAACCGGAGGAAGGUGGGAUGACGUCAAAUCAUCAUGCCCCUUAUGACCUGGGCUACACACGUGCUACAAUGGUUGGUACAACGAGUUGCGAGUCGGUGACGGCGAGCUAAUCUCUUAAAGCCAAUCUCAGUUCGGAUUGUAGGCUGCAACUCGCCUACAUGAAGUCGGAAUCGCUAGUAAUCGCGGAUCAGCACGCCGCGGUGAAUACGUUCCCGGGCCUU